GAUGAACGCUAGCGGGAGGCUUAACACAUGCAAGUCGAGGGGCAUCACGGGGUAGCAAUACUCUGGUGGCGACCGGCGCACGGGUGAGUAACACGUAUGCAACCUGCCUCGUACAGGGGGAUAACCCGGAGAAAUUCGGACUAAUAUCCCAUAAUGAUAUUGAAAGGCAUCUUUUAAUAUUUAAAGCUCAGGCGGUACGGGAUGGGCAUGCGGAACAUUAGCUGGUUGGCAGGGUAACGGCCUACCAAGGCUAUGAUGUUUAGGGGACCUGAGAGGGUGAUCCCCCACACUGGUACUGAGACACGGACCAGACUCCUACGGGAGGCAGCAGUGAGGAAUAUUGGUCAAUGGGCGCAAGCCUGAACCAGCCAUCCCGCGUGAAGGAAGAAGGCGCUAUGCGUCGUAAACUUCUUUUCCAGGGGAAUAAAAUUUUGUACGUGUACGGAAUUGAAGGUACCCUGGGAAUAAGCAUCGGCUAACUCCGUG
rnacentral:rRNA from 1 species